GUUCUCCCUGCCUCAUCAACCCUACUUCAUGCUCUCUAUAUUUUACUUCAAUUUCUGCAUUUAAACCCUAUCUACAUUCUCUCGAAUCAUCGAAAUAGAUGUUCAGGUUUAUAAAAAAUUUCUGUACUUCGAGAAGGGUUCAGGUUUGAUCUUUGAGUGAGAAUUUUUACUUUGAUUAAAUUGUCAAAAAAAGAAAAGAAAAAGAAAUAGACCUUGCCAGUUUGCAACCACUACCUUGGUUCUAGCCUGGGAGUUGUGAUAAAAUGAUCCAGCAAUUUUAUGUAAUUUCUUGAAAAGUAAUAUUAAAAUUUUAUAUAAAAUUAGUUUUUAUUAAAAAAGAACAAUACCCAGAAGUUUGAACUAUGCAUGCGUGAACGAAAACUGUUCCCAAAAGCAAAAAGCACCAUGCCACCAUGCUUACCUUUUCUUGAACUGCAGGCUGCAGCUUUUACCUUUUCUAUCUUCUAGGAAUAAAAAUUAGCUGUGCCAUUAUAGUUAAUUAGUUAUAAUAAAUCACUUGGCCUUACAUUUUAUAUAUGGACCUCUGUAGAAAUUAAUCAAACUUAGUUAUGGUCUUAUGGAUCAAUAUUUUAGCUUGUAAGUUGUAACCGGAUACUAGCAGCAAUCCAGUGCCUAUAUCGAAUGGGUUGGGCCAGUAAGUUCUAAAAAUUAGCAAGUUGCAAUUCCAUCUUAUGUAUUUAGAUGUUCUUGCCUGCUUUAUAUUUAUUUCUGCAAAUUUUGUUUUACUAGUCACCUAAUCAUGUCCGUUCCGCAAUAUGUGUUGGGCCGCGCAACACCCAUUAACUCUACAUUAGUAUGAUAUUGUCCGCUCUGAACCAUGGCCAAACCCGCACGGAUUUGUUUUUGGACUCCUACCAAAAGACCUCAUACUAAUGGAAUUGUUUUGGCUGCUUAUAUUCAAGACAAAUCUUAUUUAUCUUUUCGAUGUGGGACUUGAGUUGAAACCCACUAAACAAUCUCCCCUCAAUCCAAGAACCACCAAUCUUGUGACCCGCUCUCAUCCGUAAUUUCUCAUCUUGCGGGACAAGCCGCCCGACCACCUCAGUGUCAGGAAGAGUUUCGACACAAGUCGUCCCAGACCUCCAAUCACAAUUCUGGAGAACCUCCCCCACAUCACACAACUUGCAGCCCGCAACCCCAAGAUCAACUUCUUAACAUCGGCUCUGAUACCACAUGUUGGGCCGCGCAACACCCAUUAACUCCACAUUAGUAUGAUAUUGUCCGCUCUGGGCUGUGGCCAAGCCCGCACGGAUUUGUUUUUGGACUCCUCCCAAAAGGCCUCAUACAAAUGGAGUUGUUUUGGCUACUUAUAUUAAAGACAAAUCUUCUUUAUCUUUUCGAUGUGGGACUUGGGUUGAAACUCACUAAACCUGGCUCUGAUACCAGUUUGUUAGGAUCGCAUCCACUGUAGAUUGACGUUAAUCAAACACAAUAACAAGCACGAAAGUAAAGAACACAAACAAUUAACGUGAAAACCCCUCAAGGGAGGGUAAAACCACAAAUCCACUAAAUCUGUAUGUAUUACAAGAUUGGAGUCGCUCCCUCACUCAACACUCUUGAAUACAAACCUCCUCAACUCGAUCACAAAAGUUCUCUCUUGUGUAUCUCUCACACAACUCUUUAACUUUUGCAUACAUAAACCUCCUACAAAUAACUAUAUUUAUAGGCACCCCAAAUAUUCUAAUCCUAAUUUACUUCAAAUCCUAUUUAUGAUAAUUAUCAUCUUUUCCUAUCUUGGAGAGAAAUCCUUCUACAAUUAAUGUUCUACCAAGAAUCGGAUUACCUCAAUUAUCAUAAAUAAGAUACCUUCUCAAAAUAGGAUUCUUAAUUUAUUUAGGAAUUCGGGACGGAACCCAACAAUGUGACCCAUAUUUCACAUACGAAAUCCUGCACUUUGGUGCAUAGACUUUCGUCAUCACUCUGUCUGCGCAAGCUUGCCUAAAAGCAGAUAGAUUUAUGCCCAUCUACUUGUAUCUUCAUUUCUAAGUAAAUGCUAGUAAUCUCAUGAUUUUUGCUUGUUCUCACAAGCAUGUAUGAAACAGAUUCACGUUCGUCUUAGAACCCAAGAAAUUGUGGAGUUUCCUCUUCAGGCCCUCAUUCCGCAUAGUGCACUUGUGUUCACCUUGUCUCUCUGGUGGUAUUGGAGCUUCAAGUUUUACUCAUCGAGCUCCAAAUCAGACUUUUUCUACUUUGAAUUAAAUUUUAUGCUCAUAUAUGUAUGGUAUCUGUUGUUGUCUAUGUGCUCUGCCUUUCUCUAUCUGUAUGUGUGUCUUUAAAUUUUUAUGUCUGUAUAUACUGCAUCUCUGUAUGUGUGUCUAUAGAUUUUUAUGUCUGUAUAUACUACAUUUGUAUGUGUUUGGGGUUUGGAUUUGGGGUUUAAGAUUGGGGUUUAGACGGGUUUUAAGAUUGGGAUUUUAAUUUGGACUAUCAACAUAUUAGUUCUUGAGUUGUAUCCUUAAGAUUGGGGACUCUUAUAGUUCGUGAAAUAAUUUCAUAUUCGGCUAGACUUCGUCUGCCUCAAUUGCUGUUUCUUGAUGAGCUAACAAGUGGACUUGAUAGUGCUUCGACAUUUAUUGUGACUCAGACGUUAAGAUCUCUAUCAAGAUAUGGAAGGACUGUCAUAGCCUCUAUUCAUCAGCCAAGCAGUGAAGUGAAAGAUUAUUUAUUUUGGCAAGGCUUCACAAGCUGCUAUUCAAUAUAUGUAUACAUUACCAUUGUGGGAACAUGCAGAAGUGGCAUCCUGACAAACACAAAGGAAUACUUAACAAGAUUUUAAGGGAUGAUACUUACUUGUAAUGGGCUGGGUCUUGGUCACUCAUCAAUUUGUUUGGUGAUUAUUAGAGUCAGAAGAUUUGCUGGAGCAGCUGGAGGUGCAGUUGAAAGGACAUGCUAUGCAGCUUCUUCAGUAUAAUUGGGGAUCCAUCUAAAGGAUUUUUUGUUAUGCCCAGGGAUAUAGCACCCAUUUCUUCUGCGUCGCUUCUUUUCUGUGGACUACUACAAUUGCAUUUACGCUUCAUCGUACUGUUGUUAGACACAAAGCAGAUGUAGAGGACUUGGAGCCUAUGUUUCAUCUGUAUGUUUGGGGUAUGUUUUGAUUAGUUGUAAUAGUUUGAUAUAUGCGAGAUCAAGUAUGUUUAUGAGUAUGACUGUAUGUCACCAAUGAGCUUGCACCCUUAAUGUUCCUGAUCCGCUUCUGUUACAGCUUGGGAAUAUUUAUCUUUAGUAGGAACUGAUGUUUACACAGUAUUUCUACCACUUAAGAAUGGGGGAGGUCCCACCUUUCUGUAAGAACUUUGAAUCACAUGUAGAGUUGGCUGAUCCAUUUGUUAAACUAUAUUUUUUUCUUCCCGCAACUGAAAAUUGCAAUGGGGGAUUUAUUUUCUUGCAUUUUCUAAAGCUGGUUCUUGCACACCAAUCACAACAGAAUCAGGAGCUAACACAAAAUCAGUUUCUUCUCCUGCAACAAAGGCACCUAAAGCAAGAAGCCCAAAUAUUGUUAAUCGUAGGGGACCUCGUACUCUGGCAUCCAAGGUAUUAUAUUACAACUCGUCUAUCAAUUCAAGUUCUUGUAGUUUAGAAUAUGCCACUGAGUUUCUUGAAUAUUACUUAUAAUUUAGAAAUACCAUCUGUACAUGGUUAUAUGUCUUUUAGUACUUUUAAUGAAUCUGGGUAAGCACAUUGGUCUGUGUGUCUAAUUUCUAACGCAUUGAAGAUGCAAACUUAUAUUCUUAAUCUGAAAAAUAGUUGUAGUACAAUUUUUUUUUCUUUCAAUACAUCAUCUCAGCUCUGCUCAUUGGAGUCGGUGAAGAAUCAGGCUAAUUUAGACAAUGAAGAGGCCCAUAAACAGCUAGCUGCCUUGUCCGCGAAUCUUGAGGAAAGUUGAAAAUUGUGAUUAAUUCGACAAUAUUGUCGAUUAGUUUUCAUUAAUUAAGUUUUGUCUAGUUAGCAGCAUGAGCAAGGCUGACACUUUGUAAUGGAUUUUGCAGGAGAGACACUUCUUUCUAAAAACAUAGGGCGUAGAUUACCCGUUGCUGAAUACAGGGGUGAAAGCCAUCAAUCUCCACCUUGCAAAAGGCGCUUCUCCAAAGUCUCUGAUCAAAUCCCUUCAACAGUUUACCUGUACAAGAAUGAGGAUGAAAUUACUUAGUUGUGAUAUUAUGUAACUCUAUUUUUCAUUGUAACUCGUGUAUAAUUCAUCUUAGUUGAGUGAUUUAUGAUUCCACACAUGUACAUUGUAUAAAUUAAUUGAAAAUAUCAAUCAUCAUUUUUAUA